rnacentral:rRNA from 1 species
AUUGAACGCUGGCGGCAGGCAUAACACAUGCAAGUCGAACGAGUGGCGGACGGGUGAGUAAUUUCUGGGAAACUGCCCGAUGGAGGGGGAUAACUACUGGAAACGGUAUCUAAUACCGCAUACCAUCGGAUGUGCCCAGAUGGGAUUGGCUAGUAGGUGGGGUAACGGCUCACCUAGGCGACGAUCCCUCGCUGGUCUGAGAGGAUUACCAGCCACACUGGAACUGAGACACGGUCCAGACUCCUACGGAAGGCAGCAGUUGGGAAUAUGGAACAAUGGGCGCAAGCCGGAUGCAGCCAUGCCGCGUGUAUGAAGAAGGCCUUCGGGUUGUAAAGUACUUUCAGCGAGGAGGCGUUACUCGCAGAAGAAGCACCGGCUAACUCCGUGCCAGCAGCCGCGGUAAUUC